GCCACGGUGGUCUAGCGGUUAGACCGCUGGUUGGCCUUGUAAUCCUGGGGUCUCGGGUUCGAUUCCCGGCGGUGGCG
rnacentral:tRNA from 1 species